rnacentral:rRNA from 1 species
UUCGGGAUUAACUGGGUGUAAGGGUUCGUAGGCGGUGCGGCAAGUUGGGAGUGAAAUCUCUGGGCUUAACCCAGAGGCUGCUUCCAAAACUGCUGUGCUUGAGUGUGGGAGAGGCGCGUGGAAUUGCAGGUGUAGCGGUGAAAUGCGUAGAUAUCUGCAGGAACACCCGUGGCGAAAGCGGCGCGCUGGACCACAACUGACGCUGAGGAACGAAAGCUAGGGGAGCAAACAGGAUUAGAUACCCUGGUAGUCCUAGCCCUAAACGAUCAGGACUUGGGGUGCCACCCGUUCGGGUGUCGUCCCGGAGCUAACGCGUUAAGUCCUGCACCUGGGGAGUACGGUCGCAAGACUGAAACUCAAAGGAAUUGACGGGGGCCCGCACAAGCGGUGGAACAUGUGGUUCAAUUCGACGCUACGCGAGGAACCUUACCUGGGCUCGAAAUGCUUAGGACCAGCUGUAGAAAUACGGCCUUCCCGCAAGGGACCUGAGUAUAGGCGCCGCAUGGCUGUCGUCAGCUCGUGCCGUGAGGUGUUGGGUUAAGUCCCGCAACGAGCGCAACCCCUGCACACAGUUGCCACUCCGCAAGGAGGGAACUCUGUGUGGACUGCUCCGGAUAACGGAGAGGAAGGUGGGGAUGACGUCAAGUCCGCAUGGCCUUUAUGUCCAGGGCUACACACGUGUUACAAUGCAGGGUACAAACCGUUGCCAACCCGCGAGGGGGAGCUAAUCGGAAAAAACUCUGCUCAGUUCGGAUUGCAGUCUGCAACUCGACUGCAUGAAGCCGGAAUCGCUAGUAAUGGCGUAUCAGAUCGACGCCGUGAAUACGUUCCCGGGCCUUGUACACACCGCCCGUCACAUCACGAAAGUGAGCUGUACUAGAAGUCGCCACGCUAACCGCAAGGAGGCAGGCGCCCAAAGUAUGACUCAUGAUUGGGGUGAAGUCGUAACAAGGUAACC